rnacentral:rRNA from 1 species
GCGGAGGAAAAGAAACCAACAGGGAUUGCCCUAGUAACGGCGAGUGAAGCGGCAACAGCUCAAAUUUGAAAUCUGGCUUCGGCCCGAGUUGUAAUUUGUAGAGGAAGAUUUAGGCGCGGCACCUUCUGAGUCCCCUGGAACGGGGCGCCAUAGAGGGUGAGAGCCCCGUAUAGUUGGAUGCCUAGCCUGUGUAAAUCUCCUUCGACGAGUCGAGUAGUUUGGGAAUGCUGCUCAAAAUGGGAGGUAAAUUUCUUCUAAAGCUAAAUAUUGGCCAGAGACCGAUAGCGCACAAGUAGAGUGAUCGAAAGAUGAAAAGCACUUUGAAAAGAGGGUUAAAUAGCACGUGAAAUUGUUGAAAGGGAAGCGCUUGUGACCAGACUUGCGCCGGGCGGAUCAUCCGGUGUUCUCACCGGUGCACUCCGCCCGGCUCAGGCCAGCAUCGGUUCUCGUGGGGGGAUAAAGGCCCUGGGAACGUAGCUCCUCCGGGAGUGUUAUAGCCCAGGGUGUAAUGCCCUCGCGGGGACCGAGGUUCGCGCAUCUGCAAGGAUGCUGGCGUAAUGGUCAUCAGCGACCCGUCUUGAAACACGGACCAAGGAGUCAAGGUUUUGCGCGAGUGUUUGGGUGUAAAACCCGCACGCGUAAUGAAAGUGAACGUAGGUGAGAGCUUCGGCGCAUCAUCGACCGAUCCUGAUGUAUUCGGAUGGAUUUGAGUAGGAGCGUUAAGCCUUGGACCCGAAAGAUGGUGAACUAUGCUUGGAUAGGGUGAAGCCAGAGGAAACUCUGGUGGAGGCUCGCAGCGGUUCUGACGUGCAAAUCGAUCGUCAAAUCUGAGCAUGGGGGCGAAAGA